GGGGGGGAGCCCUGUCCAUACCUCUGUCCGUCUGUCCGUCCAUCCGUCCGUCUGUGGUUCUCCCGCCUGCCUGUCCGUCCGUCCGUCCAUCCCGUUACCCGUCCGUCUGUCCGUCCGCCUGGGGCUCUGCCACCCGUCCGUCUGUCUGUCCGUCCAUUGUGCCACCUGUCCGUCCGUCUGCCCUGUUACCUCUCCGUCCGUCUGUCAGUCCCGUUACCUGUCCGUGUGUCUGUCCCGUUACCUGUCCGUCUGUCUGUCCGUCCGUCCCGUUACCUAUCCGUCCAUCCGUCCAACCAUCCCGUUACCUGUCCGUCUGUCUGUCCCGUUACCUGUCCGUCUGUCCGUCCGUCCGUCUUUCCGUCCAUCCGUCCCCUUACCUUCCUGUCCGUCCGUGUGUCUGUCCCGUUACCUCUCCGUCCAUCCGUCCGUCCAUCCCGUUACCUGUCCGUCCGUCCGUCCGUCCCGUUACCUGUCCGUCCGUCCGUCCAUCCCGUUACCUGUCUGUCCGUCCGUCCCGCUCCUCCCUCCCCGUGUCCGUCCGUCCGUCCCUCCUCCUUC
rnacentral:lncRNA from 1 species